rnacentral:lncRNA from 1 species
UGAACUUAGGAGUAUCUUGUUGAGCUGCGAUAUGAAUGAAAAUGGAAAGCAAUCGAGUUCAAAUCCUCACUGGCUUUUCAAAUCUGAUGAGGAACAAAAGUAUGAGAAAACACAUGAAGGUAAAAUUAUGUCGAUCCUUUUCUGUGCCUUCCAAUUCCGAACGAUUUGCUUGCUGCAAUUAUUCCAACUACAGUUCAUUUCAUUAUAAUUUUUUUCUUUGUUGUAUCUCUAGACUCUCUGCGUAAGAUUUCCAAUAGGAACAACCCCAAUUUGACCCAAUUUAGCAUGCAUUGUGUAUUUUGAGAUUUCAAGGUAACUGCUGCUAAUGGAAUCCCUUCUUUCACUUGUAAUUCAUAGGGAAUACCAAUUUUAAACUCUAUUUACAUUUACAACCGAAGAAAACUAAAGCGCAAUGCAUGCUCUUUUAUGGUAGAAUGACCUUAUCAUCUUCCAACGAACUCAAGAAAGAAUGAAAUCUGUAGCAGAAAACAUAGGGCUGAGAUCUCUCCAAGGUAUUGCCCCACUCUCCCACAAUCUCUGUUCCUUGUAUUUGAGAAUUCACAAGGUCCCUUGAACUCACUUCUCUUCAACAGAUACAUGUUUAUGGCUGUCUGAGUCUCCAAUUCCUGCCACAAGACUCUUUCUUUUCUGAGUAAAGGUAUGAGAAUAAUUAGAUUUAUUUUUAUGAAGCUGCAAUAAUUAGAUUUAAUUAAAGCCAGUAGAAUUAAUUUCUCCUUUGGAUUUAGGAGCAUCUUGUUGAGCUGAGGUAUGCACGGGAAGUAAAAGCACUCAAGUAAACGUCCAUAUUAAAAAGCUAUUAGAAGAAGCAGGCUUUUCAAAAUUUGAUCUGGAACAAUUGAAGGUAAGGCUUGUCUGUGUUCUUUCUCUGCGCCUUUAACUUCUGAAGGACUCUAAAAUGUUACUUGCUCAACAUGGAACAACAGCAAUAGUUCAUUAGCAUUUUCUUUUUCUGUAAAAAAGAAUCUUGCCUUGAAUUGCAAAUUAGAUUUUAUUGGUAUUAAGCUUGAUAAAUUCUGAUAAUUCUGUCACUUUGUUUCUCACCGGGCCUGGUCCUUAUCGGUAUCCAAGAGCAUGCUGAUCACAACUUAUGUCUGUCUAGUCUCAAAUGCUGAUUUAUUAGUCACUCUGCACGAUAACAUGCCUUCUCAUAAACAGUUCUCAUUUGCAGGUUUCUUUCAUGUCACAGCCCGAGGAGAGUUUACCGUUGUAUAUAGAUUUUUGUUUUUCUACAAACAAAUUGUGCAAACAAAGGGGAAGGAAAUCUUCUCCAGGUGGCGAUCUAGCAACAGACCAGCAUUUGGACAAUGUGGUGAAGACGUCAUUUAUGAUUAGGUAAUCUUUCAUCAUAAAAUUCCUUUCUGUAGGUAAUAACUUGAAAACGUCAUUUAUGAAUUUAAUUUGAGAUGGAUGAAAAUGUGUACAUACUUGUUGGUUGGAAAUUAGUUUUCAGAAGCUACAUGGGUUGGGGUUAACUAGAGAAAUUAGUUUGUUCAUAUUCUAAGAUGAAUCCAAUGAUCCAAUUCUUAAUGUCUUGAACUUGGGAGUAUCUUAUUGAGCUGAGAUAUGCAUGAAAAUGGAAAGCAAUCGAGUUGAAAUGCUCAUUGUGCAAUCGAGUUGAAAUCCUCAUUGUAUAGCUAUUAGACCUGGCUUUUCAAAAUCGGACGAGGAACAAAAACACAUGAAGGUAAAAUUCUGUUGAUCCUUUUCUGUGCCUUUCACUUCCGAACUACAGUUCCAUUUCAUUAGAAUUGUUUUCUUUGUUGUAUCUCUAGACUCUCUGCGUAAGAUUCCCAAUAGGAACUACCCCAACUUGACCCAAUUUGGCAUGCAUUGUGUAUUUUGAGAUUUCAAGGUAACUGCUGCUAAUGGAAGAAAACCAAAGCCUAUUGCAUGCUCUUUUAAGGUAGAAUGACCUUAUCAUCUUCCAACAAACUCAAGAAAUGCAUGCUCGGGUGAGUUGAAGUUGAAGAUUUCGAGAAGGAAUGAAAGCUGUAGCAGAAAACAUAGGGCUGAGAUCUCUGCUCCACUCUCUCACAAAAGAAAAGUAAGUUUUCUUUUUUAUAUUUGAAAGUUUGCACCUUUGUUUAUAUUCUUAGCACUAGAACGUUGCUUGGAACCGUCCAUCUUAAUCUUUCUGAUAAUGCUCCCAAUUUCCUAGAUUCUGAAAGAUUAGAAUUUACUAAAGGGAUACUUAACGACAGCAAUA